rnacentral:lncRNA from 1 species
AAUUUGAAAGGAAGAGAGGAUUUAGGCGCCAUACUCAAGGUUACCCGGGUAAGAAAUGAUGGAGCAAGAAUGUCACCCAUGGGACCACACCCCUGAAUCUAUAAAUUGGAGUGUUUCUGCAAAUUCUAAGAGGUUCUUAACAUUAUCCAGAAUGGUGCCCUGGUGGACGAUCAUGCACCUUGCUGGCGAGGCGCUUUCUUCAGGGUCUUCAUCAUUAUAGUGUCUCUGAAAUUACAAAGUAAGGGAAAUAAAGACAAAGGUCUGAUUGGAAGCUGCAAAUACAAUGGGUGUAGCCAAUAUGGUCAUGAGGUGCCGCACAGCCCAAAGAGCCUCACUGUGACAACACCACCAACCAAAUUUGGCUCCUGCAGAACUCUUUGUGAAUGUUAUUUCAGACUUAAGGGAGUGAUGUGAAAUCUCAGGCUAGAGUGGAUGCUGACUGAUGAGUUAUUUCACCUUGCAACAUCAAAGAAUCAGAAAAUUCCAGAGCAAACUCAUUCUAGAAGACAAGAUUAAUAGAUUGCUGGCCAAGACUCUGCUCUCCUCUCCAUGUUCCCUUUCCUUUUUACUUUAGUUGCUCAGGUGAAAAUAUGUGUUUAGAUGAAAGAAAUAAGCAUUUCUUAAGAGUGGUGCUUUGAACAGUGAAUGAUCAAUGAUCUUACCUGAAUGGCUGCGGCAGCUGGCUGAGGGACAUUGACUAUAUUUACAUGUAACGCUACAGGGUAUGGAACAUGACUGGAGACCUAGAUGCAAAAGACAAAACAAAGGCCACGUCAUUCAGGGCUACAUAUGCUUCAGGGGACUUGGCUUCCUGAGGUUUUGUUCUGGGACUGAGAGAAAAAAAACACUUUACUGAUAAAAUACCCUAAACAAAUUUUUAAAACCUUUUAAUGUGAAAUUUAGCCAGGCCUUUAAAAUGGCUAAACAGCUAAAGGAACAUGGUGAAAAAUCCUUGGGAG